rnacentral:rRNA from 1 species
GUGCCAGCCGCCGCGGUAAUACCGGCAGCUCAAGUGAUGUCCCAUAUUAUUGGGCCUAAAGCGUCCGUAGCUGGCUGCGCAAGUCCGUCGGGAAAUCCACUCGCCCAACGGGUGGGCGUCCGGUAGAAACUGGCCGGCUUGGAACCGGAAGGCUCAGAGAGUACGUCCGGGGUAGGAGUGAAAUCCCGUAAUCCUGGACGGACCGCCGAUGGCGAAAGCACGUCGCGAGAACGGAUCCGACAGUGAGGGACGAAAGCCAGGGUCUCGAACCGGAUUAGAUACCCCGGUAGUCC